UGAGAAGUAGGCGGAUUUGUGAAAUGGACUCGUUGCUAAUUCUACACAGCGCUAACGGGCCGGGUGGCCGUUCUAGCCGCUCAGUGUGGCGGGGAUGUGACGGAGCCGCGGGCACCCUGAGGCCGAGUCGGGUGCCCUGGCACCCUUUCCACGCCAAGCAGAUGAGGGCAUUUUGCAGCAGACUGGGCCUCGGCAAAAGCGUUGACUGCAGGAGACGGGCCCGGCAUCCGUCCAGCUGCAGCGGAGGGUCUCUUGUCAUGGGGUGUCCCGUGGUGUGCAGAGUGGGUGCUGAGCAGUUUUUCUGAGAGGUUUGACUGCCGCCCCGUGGGGGCAGCUCUCAUCCCAGCAAUGUGCCACAGAGACACGAGAGACACGCGUGCCCGUGGAGCAGGCAGGUGACAGAAAGCCCAAGAAGUGUGUCCAGGACCCCCUCCAGGAACCAUGGCCAAGGUCUCUGCAGAGGGGAGGGGAGGCUGUGGCACGGAGCCCUCAGCUGCUCCCACACACAUGGAACACCUGUUUCAGGGAGCCCACCAGAGGCCCUCGGGCCGACACCCGGGGAGACCAGGGAGCCCACCAGAGGCCCUCGGGCCAACACCCGGGGAGACCAGGGAGCCCACCAGAGGCCCUCGGGCCGACACCCGGGGAGACCAGGGAGCCCACCAGAGGCCCUCGGGCCAACACCCGGGGAGACCAGGGAGCCCACCAGAGGCCCUCGGGCCGACACCCGGGGAGACCAGGGAGCCCACCAGAGGCCCUCGUGCCAACACCCGGGGAGACCAGGGAGCCCACCAGAGGCCCUCGGGCCGACACCCGGGGAGACCAGGGAGCCCACCAGAGGCCCUCGUGCCGACACCCGGGGAGACCAGGGAGCCCACCAGAGGCCCUCGGGCCGACACCCGGGGAGACCAGGGAGCCCACCAGAGGCCCUCGGGCCGACACCCGGGGAGACCAGGGAGCCCACCAGAGGCCCUCGGGCCGACACCCGGGGAGACCAGGGAGCCCACCAGAGGCCCUCGUGCCGACACCCGGGGAGACCAGGGAGCCCACCAGAGGCCCUCGUGCCGACACCUGGGGAGACCAGGCUCCAACAAACUUUAUCUGGGCUCAGAAGGGCUGGUCGACCUUCCUCACCCCUUGGGGCAGUGCCAGGCUAGGUGUGGCUCUGGACAAAGAAUGCAGGUACAGAAAGACCCGGAACAGCACCCACUCAGCCCAGCCCCUCUGUGGGCCAGACAGGGAAGCCCACCCUCCCCAUGCAAAGGAGGGUCUGCUGAUUCCCCCGAAAGAACACGCAGGGAGAAACACGCACAGCAGGGAUGGGGCUGGCACCAGUCCUGUGUGUGGGUGCACCGCGAGCCUCUCUCUCACCCAGGGUUAACCGUAGGAACCUUUGCUGUGCCCACCCCCUCCAGGGACCUCUCACUGAGGAGUCUCGCUGCUCAGUGCGUCCGCACCUGGAGGUCUCUCCGCAUCUCCAAAUCACGGAACCAGAUGGACAGUGCUCCGCAGCCUGCGAUCUGUGACCUUGAAAUCACCUACCCAAGAAUCGACUGGGAAAUUGCUUCCAAAACUCCUGGUAUUUUCAGUCUGUGGAUCAAAAGAACCACGGCGUCUGAUCCACAGAGGAAGGGAAACGGGGCCCUCGGUUCAGGACGGAGAGGCCCAGGCUGUCUGCAGAGCGUGGAAACGAGCCCAUUCAGAACCCAACACCCCUCCUAAGUUGGCUGUGAGCUCUCCAGC
ensembl:lncRNA